CAAUAGCGUAUACUAACGUUGUUGCAGUUAAAAAGCUCGUAGUUGGAUUUGUGGCGGCAGUUGCGGUCCGUACUUUUUCGGUACUGUCGACUGCUGCCAUCCUUGGGUGGAUGCUGUGUGGCAUUAGGUUGUCGUGCAGUGGAUACCCAUCGUUUACUGUGAGAAAAUUAGAGUGUUCAAAGCAGGCUUAAGCCGUUGAAUAUAUUAGCAUGGAAUAAUGAGAUAGGACCCUGGUACUAUUUUGUUGGUUUGCGUGCCAAGGUAAUGAUUAAUAGGGACAGUUGGGGGUAUUCGUAUUCCAUUGUCAGAGGUGAAAUUCUUGGAUUUCUGGAAGACGAACUACUGCGAAAGCAUUUACCAAGGAUGUUUUCAUUA
rnacentral:rRNA from 1 species